UGCUGGAUGUGUCGUCAGCUCGUGUUGUGAAAUGUUGGGUUAAGUCCCGCAACGAGCGGAACCCUUAUCCUUUGUUGCCAGCGGUCCGGCCGGGAACUCAAAGGAGACUGCCAGUGAUAAACUGGAGGAAGGUGGG
rnacentral:rRNA from 1 species